rnacentral:rRNA from 1 species
UACGUAGGGUGCGAGCGUUAAUCGGAAUUACUGGGCGUAAAGCGCGCGUAGGCGGCCCGGUAAGUCCGUUGUGAAAGUCAAAGGCUCAACCUUUGAAAGCCGAUGGAUACUGCCGGGCUGGAGUCCGGAAGAGGCGAGUGGAAUUCCUGGUGUAGCGGUGGGAAUGCGCAGAUAUCAGGAGGAACACCGGUGGCGAAGGCGGUUCUCUGGGCCUUACCUGACGCUGAGGAGCGAAAGCGUGGGGAGCAAACAGG